GGUGGCCUAGUGGUUAGAACGUCCGCCUCAGAUGCGGGAGGUCGUGGGUUCGAUCCCUGGCUUAGUCA